AGCAUAUCAAUAAGCGGAGGAAAAGAAACCAACAGGGAUUGCCCCCAGUAACGGCGAGUGAAGCGGCAACAGCUCAAAUUUGAAAUCUGGCCUAGGCCCGAGUUGUAAUUUGCAGAGGAUGCUUCGGGCGCGGUGCCUUCUGAGUUCCCUGGAACGGGACGCCAUAGAGGGUGAGAGCCCCGUACGGUUGGACACCUAGCCUGUGUGAAGCUCCUUCGACGAGUCGAGUAGUUUGGGAAUGCUGCUCAAAAUGGGAGGUAUAUCUCUUCUAAAGCUAAAUACCGGCCAGAGACCGAUAGCGCACAAGUAGAGUGAUCGAAAGAUGAAAAGCACCUUGAAAAGGGGGUUAAACAGCACGUGAAAUUGUUGAAAGGGAAGGGCCCAUGACCAGACUUGUGCCCGGCGGAUCACCCAGCGUUCUCGCUGGGGCACUCCGCCGGGUCCAGGCCAGCAUCGGUUCUCGCCGGGGGAUAAAGGCUCUGGGAACGUAGCUCCUCCGGGAGUGUUAUAGCCCUCUGCGUAAUACCCUGGCGGGGACCGAGGUACGCGCUCCGCAAGGAUGCUGGCGUAAUGGUCAUCAGCCACCCGUCUUGAAACACGGAUCAAGGAGUCGUCCAUUAGAGCGAGCGUUUGGGUGUCAAACCCGCACGCGUAAUGAAAGUGAACGUAGGUGAGAGCUUCGGCGCAUCAUCGACCGAUCCUGAUGUCCUCGGAUGGAUUUGAGUAUGAGUUUUACUGGACGGACCCGAAAGAUGGUGAACUAUGCCUGUAUAGGGUGAAGCCAGAGGAAACUCUGGUGGAGGCUCGCAGCGGUUCUGACGUGCAAAUCGAUCGUCAAAUAUGGGCAUGGGGGGCGAAAGACUAAUCGAACCAUCUAGUAGCUGGGUUACUGCCGAAG
rnacentral:rRNA from 1 species